rnacentral:lncRNA from 10 species
CUCCCAGCGAAGGUCUGCAGCUUCACUCCUGAAGCCAGUGAGACCAGGAACCCACCAGAAGGAAGAAACUCCGAACACAUGCCAACAUCAGAAGGAACAAACUCCAGACACGCCGCCUUUAAGAACUAUAACACUCACCGCAAGGGUCUGCGGCUUCAUUCUUGAAGUUAGUGAGACCAAGAAUCCACCAAUUCCGGACACAGUCUGUUACAAGAGUGAGGCCAUCUGAAAGGUAACAAUCAACUUUCAGAAGAUAUGUAUCCAAGUGGGCUACUUCCAAUGUCUAUGAGAAGUACCUGCACUUAAGAGUCUGCUAUUGCCUUAGGUACUGUUUGCACCGCCCCCACCCCUCCAAAAAAAAACAACAAACAAGGACGGCUUCUCUAGUGCUUGCCACCUUUGUCAAAGCACCUGACACCACUGUCAAAGCACCCAGAGCCAGCAGAGCUACCUCACCUGACAGUUAUCUCCCUAGGGCCUGAGAAAUGGCCUACCUGGUGGCCCCCAAGCUCACUGAACUAGGCCAAUGACUCCACAAAUGCCCACAGUCUAAGCCACUGAGCGACAUGCAGACAUCAUUGAGACUAAUUUUUUUAAAUAUCAUGGAUUAAAAAGGCAUUCCAUUCCAAUUAAAACCAAAAUCAAGCAGGAGUAGCUAUACUUAGAUAAAAUAGACUUAAGUAAAAAACUGUAAAAUGGGUCAAAGAAGGUCAUUAUAAAAUAAUCAAGGAAUCCAGCAAGAAGAUAUAACAAUUAUAUUCUCACACAACACUGGUGCACUUAGAUAUGUAAAGCAAUAUUACUAAUCCUAAAGGAAAAAGAGACACAAAUACAAUAAAAGCUGGGGACUUCAACACCACACUUCCAGCAUUAGAUCACCUAGACAGAAAAUCGACAAAGAAACGUCAGAUAUAAUGUACACUAUAGAACAAAUGAAUCUAACAGACAUUUACAGAAUAUUUCAUCCAACAGCUACAUAAUACACAUUUUCUUCACCAGUACAUGAAACUCUCUCCAAGAUAGACCAUAUGUUAGAACACAAAAAAAUUCUUAACAAAUUUUAAAAAAUCAAAACUAUAGCAAGUAUAUUCUCAGACCACAACAGAAUAAAUCUAGAAAUUGAUAAGAAGAGGUGGGGCACGGUGGCUCAUACCUAUAAUCCCAGCACUUUGGGAGGCCGAGACAGGCAGAUCACGAGGUCAGGAGAUCAAGACCAUCCUGGCUAAUGCGGUGAAACCCUGUCUCUACUAAAAAUAUAAAAAAUUAGUCAGGCGUGGUGGCAUACGCCUGUAGUCCCAGCUAGUUGGGAGGCUGAGGCAGGAGAAUUGCUUGAAACUGGGAGGCAGAGGUUGCAGUGAGCCGCGAUCUCGCCACUGCACUCCAGCCUGGGCAACAGAGCAAGGCUCAGUCACAAAAAUAAAUAAAUAAAUAAAUUGAUAACGAGGAACUCUGAAAACUAUAUAUACACGGAAAUUAAACAAUAUGGUCCUCAAUGACCAUUGGGUCAAGGGAGAAAUAAAGAAUAACGUUUUAAAUAUUUCCUGUAAGAAAUAAAAAUUAAAAUAAAACAUACUAAGAUCUAGGAGGUACAGUAAAAACAGUGCUAAGAGGGAAUUUUAUAGCAACAAGUGCCUACACCAAAAAAGUAGAAAGAUUUUAAAUAAAUAAUCUAGUAAUGCAUCUUAGAGAACUAGAAAAGCAAGAACCAAUCAAACCCAAGAUUAGUAGAAGAAAUGAAAAAAUAAAAAUCAGCAGAAGUAAACAAACUAGAGGCCAAAAAACAAUAGAAAAGACCAACAAAAAAAUUAUUUCUUGAAAAAUAAGCAAUAUCAAUAAACCACUUGCUAAGCUAAGCAAUAAAAAAAGGAGAUCCAAUAAACAACAUCAAAAAAUGAAAAAAUAAUAUUACAAUUAACACAAAUACAAAAGAUUAUCAAGGAUUUUUAUGAACAACUAUACACUAACAAACUGGAAAACCUAUAGGAAAUGGAUAAAUUUCUGGACAUAUGCAACCUACCAAGAUUGAAUCAGGAACAAAUACAAAAACUGAACGGAACAAUAAUAAGUAAAAGAUCAAAGCAGGAAUCAAAGCCUCUGAUAUGGUUUGGCUCUGUUUCCUCACCCAAAUCUCAUGUUGAAUUGUGUUGGGGGAGGAGCCUGGUGGGAAGUGAUUGAAUCUUGGGGGCAGACUUCCCCUUUGUUCUUCUCAUGACAGUGAAUGAGUUCUCAUGAGAUCUGGUUGUUUAAAAGUGUGUAGCACUUACCCCUUCGCUCUCUUUCUCUCCUGCUCCUCCAUGGUAAGAUGCGCUUGCUUUCUCUUAGCCUUCUAUCAUAAUUGUAAGUGUCCUGAGGCUUCCUAGCCAUGCCUCCUGUACAGCCUAUGGAACUGUCAGUCAAUUAAACCUCUUUUCUUUAUAAAUUACUCAGUCUCAGGUAAUUUUUUAAUACUAGUGUGAGAAUGGACUAAUACAGCCUCUCAAGAAAAAAAAGUCCAGGACCAGAUAGCUUCACUGCCAAAUUUUACCAGGCUUUCAAAGAAUAACUAACACCAACAACUAACACUCACACUAUUCCAUCAAAUUGAAAAUAAGAGAACUCUUCCUAACUCACACUAUGAGACCACCACUACCUGGAUAUGAAAUGCAAACAAGGACACAACGAAAAUAAGAAAACUAC